UAAGGAUACGACUGCGUUUUCGACUCUUUCGUCUAGAAGGGGUUUCAACGGGGUCCAAGUGCUGUCCAAACUGCGUGUAUGAGGUUAGACUGAAUUGAGAAAGCUGUAACAGCCUGCAUUUUGAUGUGAACGAGGAGCACUGGAGAGACGUUCUUAGACAGGUGUGUGGGGGUGAAGUCUGUGAGUCAGGAGGUUGAUGUACUCUUGGUGUUGAAAGUUUCAAACCCGUAUUGCUUUAUGGGUCAAGUAUUUUGACAAGCAUGUUUUUAAAGGGCUUGUAGGAUGUUUGAAGUUUCAGAAGAUUCAGAAGGGUUCAGUGUCUUGAAAUUCUUGAUAUAUCAAAUGUUUUACUGGUCUGGUUGCUGAAUAAGACAGACAUUUGCCAUGCUCUAAUAGGUAUGAAUGACGUGACAUAAAUUCAGUGUUUGAGGUCCACAUGGCUGUUUAAAGUUUUGGGCAAGUUCACUACAAUCUGGAACUUCUUGUAAUGGUGGUUUGUCUGUUUCACGAAGCUUUAAGCUCCGAAAAAGUUACUCAGAGUGUAAAGGUAAAAGUGAUCAAGGAUUUGAUAUUGAGCUGUGGUCUCAUAAGGCUUAAUUUAUAUGAUCUGUGCCUUCCUGAAGUAUACAUUUUCCUCCAAUAGCUGUAAAGCUUUCAUAGGUAUUUCAUAAUUUUGGCUGUUUAGCCAUGAACUGGAUUAAGGCAAGCAAUGUCUGCCUUUUGACAAGCUGGGGGAAUGAGGACCAAUCUUGUCUCAGUAUUUGUCAUGUUUACCAAUUUCAUAAACCUUGAAAGAACAAACCCUGUUACUUUGACAUGGGUGAAUCAUCUGAAGGUAUGAGAACAGUACCAUUGGACCAAGAACUGGAUUUAAGGAAAGGACUGCCUGGCUGUUGACAAGCAGGGGGAGUCAGGGACCACCUGUCUUGAAUGUCUUAUAUUCAGGACAGAUUUCCUAAUUUCAUAAACCCUGAAGCAAGAACAAACCCUGCUACUUAAAGACAUGGCGGGAUCAUCUGAAGGUAUGGGAACAGUACCAUUGGAUUUCCAGUGAGGUGGGAAUGUGAAAUCACGUUAUGGUCAGUAUUUUUUGAAAGUAGUGACCUCAACUUUGCUCUUGAGGUUUAAUAUAUGGUAGUAUGGCUAUCAAAUUAAGUGGACAGUCUAGGGUAGUUUUAUAAAAUCUUCUAAUAGGGUGUUGGUUGAGGGUGAUGGUUGAGGACAUGUCACCAUUCUUUCAUAAUUAUGGCAUUAGGUAUUCUUGCCAUUCUUAUUCCGUAUGGGUUAAAUUGUAAUGUUAUGGAGUCUGUUGCCUUAAUGACCAUAAAAUCAGUUUGCCGUAACCUUUUACAUGGCAUGUCUGAAAAUGUUGAUAAAUGUUUAAUGGUAUAAGAAAGCUUAUUUAAGGUUUGUAUGAUGAAAUAUAAGUUAAAAUUUUUACUACUAAAAAUGUGAUCUUUUAACAUUUGGCCUUUCUAUUCUAGUUCAGGUUGCUGAGCACGAUUGUGGGUUUUGCCUUGGCAAUAAAUUUUAAUUGUUGAAGGAUCGACUAAUCUUUUAUUUUUUCGAAAAUACAGUAGGUGAGGAUGUAAUCUAAAUUACCUGUUUGUGGCAACUACAGAGUUUUGGAGAAGCCUACAGGUUUGGUAUACAGGAUAAGAAAAUAUGCUGAAUGGUUGUUUUCUCUUGAUUAUUUGUCAUGUAGCUUAGCUUAAGACCUAGCUUAAGUAUCUUAAGAAUUUUCUUGCACCACUAAUUCUUUUCAACAAUGUCUGAUAGUCUGUGUUAUACUUGACCAGCUGAAACUUAAAUUAGUCAAAUCUUUUAAAACCUAAAUGGCAGGCAUAAGCAUUAUGCAUUCAAUAAGAUAAAGUAGCUUUAAAUUGAAGUUUGUUUGAUUAUAAAUAGUAUAUGCACAAGCAUUCUGUAAUAGAUCCAAGUAAAUUUGGCGACUGGGCUAAACUGUUUCUAUCGAUAUUUUAUUGCUUUAUUUUUUUCUCCAGAUUUGCUCUCCAAAGAAAGAACUAGGACCACUACCAGUAUUAACAGGUGGUAUGUGAGCAACAGAUUCAGCAGCAUUAGUGCCUUGAAGGCGAAUUUUUUUUUACAAAGUCAAAACGUUCAUUUACGUGGGAGCUCCAGGUGUUGACUUUAUAC